UACGUAGGGUGCGAGCGUUGUCCGGAAUUAUUGGGCGUAAAGGGCUCGUAGGCGGUUUGUCGCGUCGGGAGUGAAAACACCGGGCUUAACUCGGUGCUUGCUUUCGAUACGGGCAGACUAGAGGUAUGCAGGGGAGAACGGAAUUCCCGGUGUAGCGGUGAAAUGCGCAGAUAUCGGGAAGAACACCCGUGGCGAAGGCGGCUCUCUGGAACGCAACUGACGCUGAGACGCGAAAGCGUGGGGAGCAAACAGG
rnacentral:rRNA from 1 species